GUGUACUAUUUCUGUAUUGUACCCUCAGUCAGUGUUUCUCUCUCUCGAGUUCAGCUCUCCAAAGCAGUUAAUAAAAAUAAAAUAUAGAACACUGAAACGAUGGACAAAGCUGACUGACACACUCCUGAGUCAUUAAAGCAGCAGCUUCUUUGGAAGAAGGACUGAUGGGUGGGCAGAGGAACAGGACGAUUUGAACAACUUUAGUUCUAGUGGAAAUAAACCCACACUUCUGAAAUCGGAUGAAUAUGUGGAAAGGCUGAUGUGAUCGACACAACAGGCAAAGGAAACACAGCUGACUGGAAAUCUUCAAGAGCAUGUGUUUAAACAGAGCUGAAAAGGAGAAAUAGGAGGAAGUUGCAAUGGAUUUCUUACAAAAGAACUUCUGGGCUGUUUUAAUCCUAGCCAUCAUUCUGGUGUCUGUGAUCAUAGUGAUUAUUUUCAUCUUCAUCAACAUUUGUCUCCGCAGAAGAGCUUCUUGGUACAGUACACAAGCAAAAACAAAUCAUUAUGGUCACUCAGACUCAAAACCAGUGGACAACCAAGCACAUAACAAAGACCUAGGAAAUGAAAAACCACCCUUACCUCCAAGAGAUCAAUUCCUGUCCACAAACUCUGUGGGUGCCAGUUACGAAGAUAUACCGACUGUGCCGGACUACGUGGAGAUUGAAGAUUCAACACCAGCUUUUCCCCAACAGCCUGUCUUCAUUCCAGAGUACGCUGUGGAGAUAAAAAGUCAGGAUGAAGAAAGCGAGGAUUACGAUGAUGUUGAAAACCCUGACGACAGCGAGGAUUACGAUGAUGUUGGAUAGAGGGCAUAUCAACAGUAACUCUAUACUUUAGCUUUAGCUGGACAUAUAAAAGAACCCAGAUAUCAGCUGUACAUUUACUAAGUCAUUAUUUGAGCAGAAACAAGUACUAUCUGUGCAAUCUAUUACAAGUGUGAUUACAUUCUCUAAAGUGAUGCAAUCUUUCACUUCCUAUUUUUACGAAGGAAAUACGUCUAACUGAAAUAUCAUUUUAACUGGUAAUUUUCUCAUGAAGUAGUUUCGAAAUCUCAAAAAAAAAAAAAUAUUGUGGAAACCCCAUGGUCUUAAAUAGUGUAACAGAGUUUCUGUCUUGCUUCUACACUACCUGACAAAAGUCUUGUUCAAGUUUUAGGAGGAACAAAUAAUAACUUUACUUCUAGUUGAUCAUUUGGA